UCCAUGUGUCCUUGUUCCCAUUCCAGACACCCACCCCAAACCCCAGCAUAUACCAACUCCACAGUGUCCUUGAUCUAGAUCAAUAGCUUGUCCCAAGCCCCAGUCAAUUCCUGUUGUGUGGCUCUUGCCUUUCAGGGGAAGACUAACAAAUCGGCAUAUACAGGCCCCAAGGUAGGCAUCUGUGAUGUUGUCUUAUGUCUUUGUUCCUUUUUGGCUCCUAAAGGGGAUGUGUAUGUAAUUUGUACUUUCUUGCUCUCCCUUCUUACCCUUAACCCCUCAAGUUCUAGUUCCCUUCUCUGAGAAGCUUACCCACAUUCAAGAAUCAGAAGCUGGAGGAAGAGAGGCUGGGAAAGAGACUAGCAGGAAUGAAAGGACUUUAAUGUUUGGGGCACUAGAGGAACAGAGAGGCAGACUGGGAAUAUGGAUGCAGGGGAGAAGCAGCUGUCUUGGAAGGAGAGUUUGUAUGGCAUACCUAGGCAGAAACAUCAGAUGGCCUUUGAUACAAGCCGUUUAGCUCUCCUGGAAAUAUCUACUAUGUAGCCAUUUCAAACAGGACUGAGCCCCUCUGAGCCAGAGGAGCUGGUUAUAGCAUUCGCCACAGAGGGAAGAGGGGCUGAAUGGGUAUGAUGGGGUGAUGUUAUGAGAGCAGACAGAAUAGAUAGAGAGGAUCAGAAGAGAUGGGCUCUGUAGGGGGCCAACCUGCCAAUACUGGAGCCAGCCUGGCACUGACAAGCCCUGGGGGAAGAGGCCAAGGUCAGGGAUCAAGGCAGAGGGGAUGGGGCAUUCUGUGGGUUCAGAUGAACAGAGGAAAGAAGAAUAGCAAAAUAGAAGGAGUUGGUGAGGGAGUCUGGUUGGAGGUAAGGGGAGCCCAUGUAAUGGAAAGGAAUGAAGGAAAAAAACUAUCAUAGGAGCAAGAAAACAUCAUUAUGGGUUACCAUUUAUUGGACAUUUUGUGCUACUUGCUGCUAAGUGCUUUAUUUAAUCCCCACAGCAACCCAAUGAAUUAGGCAUUAUCUCCCUUUUUACAUACAGCAUAAAGAACUGUAACCCAGAAAAUUAAAAUAAUUUGCACAAGGCCACACAGUCAGUGACAGAGCCAGCACUGAAACCCAGAUCUGUCCAGUGUUAAAGCCUGUUCUCCUAACGCCAAAAUAUACUGCCUGUGUAAAAGAAGCAAUAAGCGGCCUGGGAGACAAAUAUGGGGGAAGAUUUAAAAAGUGAAGGUGCAGUCCGGGUGUGGUGGCUCACGCCUGUAAUCCCAGCACUUUGGGAGGCCGAGGCAGGCAGAUCAUGUGGUCAGGAGUUUGAGACCAGCCUGGCCAACAUAGUGAAACCCUGUCUCUACUAAAAAUACAAAAAAAUUAGCCAGGUGUGGUGGCAGGUGCCUGUAGUUCCAGCUACUUGGGAGGCUGAGGCAGAAGAAUCACUUGAACCCGGGAGGCAGAGGUCGCAGUGAGUCAAGAUCGCGCCACUGCACUCCAGCCUGAGUGACAAGAGAGAUUCCGUCUAAAA
rnacentral:lncRNA from 10 species